rnacentral:rRNA from 1 species
CCUAACGGCUGAACCAGCAAUUUGAGGGAAUGUAAGUAUGUAUAGUUAUAUGCAUAUGAAUUGACUAUGUCAAAUAAAAUUCUGGGUAGAUAAUUGAUAAUGACAAAUUUCUAUCCAUAUGUCUUGACCAAUUCUUGUGCCAGCAGUCGCGGCAACACAAGUAAGACUAGUGUUAUUCAUCUUUAUUAGGUUUAAAGGUACCUAGACGGCAUUUAUCACUUUUAUAAGAGAAUAUUUUUGCUAGAGUUUUAUGUGAGAGGUAAAUAUUAGGACUGUUGGUGUAGAGAUGAAAUUCUUUGAUACUAACAGAAUGUGUAAUGGCGAAGGCAACCCUCUAUGUACAAACUGACGUUAAGGGACGAAGGCUUGGGGAGCAAAUAGGAUUAGAUACCCUAGUAGUCCAGGCAGAAAAUUAUGAAUGUUAUAGACUAAGCAAAAAGUUGGUGUAUAAAUGAAAGUGUAAGCAUUCCACCUCAAGAGUAGUGUGGCAACACAGGAACUGAAAUCAUUAGACCGUUUCUGAAACCAGUAGUGAAGUAUGUUAUUUAAUUCGAUGGUCCUCGAAAAACCUUACCACAUCUUGAAUAGUAUUUAUUUUAAUAUUACAAGCGUUGCACGGUUGUCUAAAGCUAAUGUCGUGAGAUUUUGAUUAGAUUCAUUAAAUUGGCGUAACCCCUUACUCUAUUUACUAAUAAUAUUGUAGUUCACCGUUAUAUUAGGUUUGAUAAUAGGGAAGAAGACAAAUCAUCAUGACCUUAAUGGUGUGGGCUAUAGACGUGCCACAUAUAUUUGUACAAAGAGAGACAAAAGUGC